AAUUAGCUGCUAACUCGGUGCUCGGAUGGAUAAAAAGAGCAAGGGUGGCGCUGAAAAAUAAGAAUUAAAAAGAAAAGCACUCGUGAAAGAAUCGGCAAAAUGCGCAAAAAUAGCUAAUUUUUUUCAUGCAACGACCUUGCUGCCUCAAACUACAGAGGAUUACAACGAAAGUGGUAAGGCCAGAUGGCGAAUAAAAUGCAACUUGCACCGUGUGAUACGACAAUAUGUAAUUGUGGAAACUUUGGCUUCUUGUAGCACCUCACAAGGGAUAUGUAGCAGCAAGCAUUAGCCAUAAUGAACACACCACAGGUGCAGAGCUGGAAGUGAAUGAUCAGUGCCACUGCUCCGAUGACCAUCAAUGACAGCCAAUGGGUCAAGAAACGCAUGCUUGGAUGCCUUUGGUGCAGAAGAACACAACUGGAAGACCUGAUCUCAACCCCGAUAUUGUGAGCCAAGUUCCAUGUCCAACAUCUGUGACCUUUGACUUCACAAAAGGAGAGGCAGUGGAGAGACAACAAGAAAGGUUUGGAGGAAUAAGCAGAGUAAAGUGGGUUUGCCAUGGCUGAAUUUGAUGGCAACAGCGGUGGAUCUGUCAGAAUUCUGGGAUAUGCAGUAUGCCUAAAGAAAUUACUACAGCUUUCACUGAAUCCUGUACUGCUUGCCUGGCAAAACUCCUGCCUGCCAGUUUACCUGUUCUAUCACAAAACUGCCCACCGGAUUCUUCGGACACUAUCUACCACUCCCUCUCAUUCUCAGUGAAUUAGUUCCCCUGUUACCCCAGGGCCUUAACAAAUUCAAUAUGUUGUUUACAAUGA